CAACUGCUCUCAUAUCACGAUUCAUUUUCUGAAAGAGGAACAAUGACAGCCAUAUCUGCUGGGGUCCUAGUUAUGCUUACAAAAAUUCACAGUUUUGCCCCUGCAUUCAACUCUACAGUCUCUCCAAGCCCUUAUACUCUUCAAACCACAGAAACAUCCCAUGAUUCCAGUAUGACUGCCUUUACUUACAGAAAGAUCUUCACUUACUAACACCAGCUUCAGUCACAAGCAGUCUACAGGAUUCUCAGAUUGGCUGAAAAUUCUCCUCUUUGUGGGGGCCUCAAUUACACUACUGCCCUUUUUCCUGGCACUGUUGCUCCACCACAGAAAAAAGAGAAACACAGGUCCGUCAGCAUGGUCAAAACACAGAGCCAGGAAGAGUAGACACGGACAGAAUGACAACGAUUAUGAACUUCCUUUCGACCAGCAACAUGUUGACAUGGAUGUCACAGUGACAUCCAAUACUAAGAAUGAAGAUCCACACAGCCAAUCAGAUUUGGUCUGCAAGGGCCAAAUGUCAGAAAACAGCCAGGAAGAUUCACAAUAUGAAGAAUUUGAAUCCAACAGAAUCCUGUCAGAUCCAGUUUACCAGACUGUAGACCCCAGGAGCAGAUCUGAUUCGAUUUACCACACUCUGAACACCAAAAGCAGCAAAUCAGACAGAGAGUUUGCAGACAAGUGUGCACAUACGCAUGCCUCCUUCUAGCACCUCCAUAACCACACCUGCAGUUAGCUAGAAUAAACUGUAAUUGUGUUUGUGUGAUAUCUGGAUAUUUUAUUUUGAUAUCCAAUACAUGAAUACAGAUGGGUUUAUUUGUACAGUUACCUGACUGACACAUUGAAUAUUAGAACACCGCACUUAUUAAACUGGAACAAAAUCAAAAAACUUUUUCUGAAAGUUUUCAACAUUGCCAU